UACGUAGGGGGCAAGCGUUGUCCAGAUUUAUUGGGCGUAAAGAGCGUGUAGGCGGCUUUACAGGUCCGUUGUGAAAACUCGAGGCUCAACCUCGAGACGCCGGUGGAAACCGUAAGGCUAGAGUCCGGAAGAGGAGAGUGGAAUUCCUGGUGUAGCGGUGAAAUGCGCAGAUAUCAGGAAGAACACCCGUGGCGAAGGCGGCUCUCUGGGACGGUACUGACGCUGAGACGCGAAAGCGUGGGGAGCGAACAGG
rnacentral:rRNA from 1 species